AGCAGCCGCGGUAAUUCCAGCUCCAAUAGCGUAUAUUAAAGUUGUUGCAGUUAAAAAGCUCGUAGUUGAAUUUCGGGAUCAAUAUUUCGGUCAUGCCGUUGGUAUGCACUGUUAUCAUUGAUUUCUCACCUUCUAAAGAACCGUAAUGCCAUUAAUUUGGUGUUACGGGGAAUUAGGACUGUUACCUUGAAAAAAUUAGAGUGUUUAAAGCAGGCUCACGCUUGAAUACAUUAGCAUGGAAUAAUGAAAUAGGACAUCCGAUUCUAUUUUGUUGGUUUCUAGGAUCGAUGUAAUGAUUAAUAGGGAUAGUUGGGGGCAUUAGUAUUCAAUUGUCAGAGGUGAAAUUCUUGGAUUUAUUGAAGACUAACUACUGCGAAAGCAUUUGCCAAGGAUGUUUUCAUUAAUCAAGAACGAAAGUUAGGGGAUCGAAGACGAUCAGAUACCGUCGUAGUCUUAACCAUAAACUAUGCCGACUAGGGAUCGGAUGAUGUUAAUUUUUUAAUGACUCAUUCGGCGCCUU
rnacentral:sRNA from 1 species